rnacentral:rRNA from 1 species
AGUGGCGCACGGGUGCGUAACGCGUAUGCAACCUACCUUAAUCAGGGGGAUAGCCCGAAGAAAUUCGGAUUAACACCGCAUAAAAUCACAGUACAGCAUUGUACAAUGAUCAAAUAUUUAUAGGAUUAAGAUGGGCAUGCGUGACAUUAGUUAGUUGGCGGGGUAACGGCCCACCAAGACCACGAUGUCUAGGGGAUCUGAGAGGAUGACCCCCCACACCGGUACUGAGACACGGACCAGACUCCUACGGGAGGCAGCAGUAAGGAAUAUUGGUCAAUGGAGGCAACUCUGAACCAGCCAUGCCGCGUGCAGGAAGACAGCCCUCUGGGUCGUAAACUGCUUUUAUUCGGGAAUAAACCUAUCUACGUGUAGAUAGCUGAAUGUACCGAAGGAAUAAGGAUCGGCUAACUCCGUGCCAGCAGCCGCGGUAAUACGGAGGAUCCAAGCGUUAUCCGGAUUUAUUGGGUUUAAAGGGUGCGUAGGCGGCUUUUUAAGUCAGGGGUGAAAGACGGUGGCUCAACCAUCGCAGUGCCCUUGAUACUGAAGAGCUUGAAUGAACUAGAGGUAGGCGGAAUGUGACAAGUAGCGGUGAAAUGCAUAGAUAUGUCACAGAACACCGAUUGCGAAGGCAGCUUACUAUGGUUAAAUUGACGCUGAGGCACGAAAGCGUGGGGAUCAAACAGGAUUAGAUACCCUGGUAGUCCACGCCCUAAACGAUGAAUACUCGCUGUUAGCGAUACACAGUUAGCGGCUAAGCGAAAGCGUUAAGUAUUCCACCUGGGGAGUACGGUCGCAAGAUUGAAACUCAAAGGAAUUGACGGGGGCCCGCACAAGCGGAGGARCAUGUGGUUUAAUUCGAUGAUACGCGAGGAACCUUACCCGGGCUUGAAAGUUAGUGAAUCAUUUAGAGAUAGAUGAGUCCGCAAGGACACGAAACUARGUGCUGCAUGGCUGUCGUCAGCUCGUGCCGUGAGGUGUUGGGUUAAGUCCCGCAACGAGCGCAACCCCUAUGUUUAGUUGCCAGCACGUAAUGGUGGGGACUCUAAACAGACUGCCUGUGCAAACAGAGAGGAAGGAGGGGACGACGUCAAGUCAUCAUGGCCCUUACGUCCGGGGCUACACACGUGCUACAAUGGAUGGUACAGAGGGCAGCAAGCUGGUAACAGCAAGCAAAUCUCCAAAAGCCAUUCACAGUUCGGAUAGAGGUCUGC